UACAGAGGUGGCAAGCGUUGUUCGGAAUUACUGGGCGUAAAGGGCGCGUAGGCGGCCAUCUAAGUCAGACGUGAAAUCCCCAGGCUUAACCUGGGAACUGCGUCUGAUACUGGAAGGCUUGAGUAUGGGAGAGGGAUGUAGAAUUCCAGGUGUAGCGGUGAAAUGCGUAGAUAUCUGGAGGAAUACCGGUGGCGAAGGCGGCAUCCUGGACCAUUACUGACGCUGAGGCGCGAAAGCUAGGGGAGCAAACGGG
rnacentral:rRNA from 1 species